UCGAACGAUGAUGCUGGUGCUUGCACUGGUGGAUUAGUGGCGAACGGGUGAGUAACACGUGAGUAACCUGCCCCUGACUUCGGGAUAAGCCCGGGAAACUGGGUCUAAUACCGGAUAUGACUUCCUGCUGCAUGGCAGGGGGUGGAAAGAUUUAUCGGUUGGGGAUGGACUCGCGGCCUAUCAGCUUGUUGGUGAGGUAAUGGCUCACCAAGGCGACGACGGGUAGCCGGCCUGAGAGGGUGACCGGCCACACUGGGACUGAGACACGGCCCAGACUCCUACGGGAGGCAGCAGUGGGGAAUAUUGCACAAUGGGCGAAAGCCUGAUGCAGCGACGCCGCGUGAGGGAUGACGGCCUUCGGGUUGUAAACCUCUUUCAGUAGGGAAGAAGCCCCUUUUUGGGGGUGACGGUACUUGCAGAAGAAGCGCCGGCUAACUACGUGCCAGCAGCCGCGGUAAUACGUAGGGCGCAAGCGUUAUCCGGAAUUAUUGGGCGUAAAGAGCUCGUACGCGGUUUGUCGCGUCUGCCGUGAAAGUCCGAGGCUCAACCUCGGAUCUGCGGUGGGUACGGGCAGACUAGAGUGAUGUAGGGGAGACUGGAAUUCCUGGUGUAGCGGUGAAAUGCGCAGAUAUCAGGAGGAACACCGAUGGCGAAGGCAGGUCUCUGGGCAUUUACUGACGCUGAGGAGCGAAAGCAUGGGGAGCGAACAGGAUUAGAUACCCUGGUAGUCCAUGCCGUAAACGUUGGGCACUAGGUGUGGGGGACAUUCCACGUUUUCCGCGCCGUAGCUAACGCAUUAAGUGCCCCGCCUGGAGAGUACGGCCGCAAGGCUAAAACUCAAAGGAAUUGACGGGGGCCCGCACAAGCGGCGGAGCAUGCGGAUUAAUUCGAUGCAACGCGAAGAACCUUACCAAGGCUUGACAUGUUCCAGACCGGGCCAGAGAUGGUCUUUCCCCUUUUGGGGCUGGUUCACAGGUGGUGCAUGGUUGUCGUCAGCUCGU
rnacentral:rRNA from 1 species